AUGAACGGGGCUAAGCGAUCUGCCGAAGCUGUGGGAUGUAAAAAUGAAUCGGUAGGGGAGCGUUCCGCCUUAGAAAGAAGUACCCGCGCGAGCAGGGUUGGACGAAGCGGAAGCGAGAAUGUCGGCUUGAGUAACGAAAACAUUGGUGAGAAUCCAAUGCCCCGAAAACCUAAGGAUUCCUCCGCCAGGUUCGUCCACGGAGGGUUAGUCAGGGCCUAA